rnacentral:lncRNA from 10 species
GCUUGGAGAGAAUGUCUUGUGCCAACUCCUCAACCACUUCCUUAAAAUGCAGGCAGAAGAGAGAACAUGGACAGAAGUGACAGCAGGAGACGCCGGUCUUUGUCAUCAGUCACUCUGCCUCCGUAAUUACAUUCCCCUGGGGACAACCAACAGAAGGAGAGGUUGAGCCCAGGGAAGGUCAUCACGAGCUUGGUGGUUGAUGUAAAACACGGCAUUCUUCCGGCCAAAGAUCUCUGCUGGGACAUAGUGAUAGGGACAGCAAGCAGGAAAAUUCCGGGCAGAAGAUGGCGGGUCCCCUGCAAGGGCCCCACCCUCAAGCUGAAAAGCCUGAAACCAUGGCCCAAAGUGAGAACUUACAUCCCUGUUUUCCCACUUGAAUGUUGCCUUUUCCAAAACCACCCAUGACCUGCCCCACCCCCACAACCCAUGCCCAUCAAAACCCCAGGCUCAGCCAGCAGAGAGAGAGAAGCAGCUGGACAUCAGAGAGAAGAGGCUUGACUUCAGGGGAACAGCCUUUUCAGCUCCCUUUCCCGCUGAGAGCCACUUUCUUCGGCAAUAAAAUCCCCCACAUUUACCAUCUUCCAUUCGUUUGUGCGACCCCAUUCCUCCUGGACACUGGACAAGAGCUUGGGUGCCAUGAGUGCAAGUGCCAAAGUCUGUCACGCUGACCCACCACUGGGCGGUUAAUACUUGAGCUGUCUG